UACGUAGGGGGGCAAGCGUUGUCCGGAUUUAUUGGGCGUAAAGAGCGUGUAGGCGGCCAUACAGGUCAGCUGUGAAAACUCGAGGCUCAACCUCGAGACGUCGGUUGAAACCGUAUGGCUAGAGUCCGGAAGAGGAGAGUGGAAUUCCCGGUGUAGCGGUGAAAUGCGCAGAUAUCGGGAAGAACACCCGUGGCGAAGGCGGUUCUCUGGGACGGUACUGACGCUGAGACGCGAAAGCGUGGGGAGCGAACAGG
rnacentral:rRNA from 1 species